AUUGAACGCUGGCGGCAGGCCUAACACAUGCAAGUCGAGCGGUUGAGGUAGCUUGCUACCGAUGCAGCGGCGAACGGGUGAGUAAUACAUGGGAAUCUGCCUGGUAGUGGGGGACAACGUUUCGAAAGGAACGCUAAUACCGCAUACGCCCUACGGGGGAAAGGGGGGGAUCGCAAGACCUCCCGCUAUCAGAUGAGCCC
rnacentral:rRNA from 1 species